rnacentral:rRNA from 1 species
GAUGAACGCUGGCGGCGUGCCUAACACAUGCAAGUCGAACGGAGUUUUAUGAAGUUUUCGGACGGAUUAAAACUUAGUGGCGGACGGGUGAGUAACGCGUGGGUAACCUGCCUCAUACAGGGGGAUAACAGUUGGAAACGGCUGCUAAAACCGCAUAAGCAUACACUGUCGCAUGACAGAGUGUGAAAAUAUUUAUAGGUAUGAGAUGGACCCGCGUCUGAUUAGCUAGUUGGUAAGGUAACGGCCUACCAAGGCGACGAUCAGUAGCCGGCUUGAGAGAGCGAUCGGCCACAUUGGGACUGAGACACGGCCCAAACUCCUACGGGAGGCAGCAGUGGGGAAUAUUGCACAAUGGGCGAAAGCCUGAUGCAGCGACGCCGCGUGAGUGAAGAAGUAUUUCGGUAUGUAAAGCUCUAUCAGCAGGGAAGAAAAUGACGGUACCUGACUAAGAAGCCCCGGCUAACUACGUGCCAGCAGCCGCAGUAAGAC